rnacentral:ncRNA from 1 species
UUGAGCCGUAUGCGGGGAAACUUGCACGUACGGUUCUUAGGGGAGGGGUAGCCAGUAAUGGCUGCUCCUUACCCGAC